rnacentral:misc_RNA from 1 species
GAUGAAGAACGUAGCGAAAUGCGAUACGUAAUGUGAAUUGCAGAAUUCAGUGAAUCAUCGAAUCUUUGAACGCACAUUGCGCCCGCCAGUAUUCUGGCGGGCAUGCCUGUUCGAGCGUCAUUUCAACCAUCAAGCCCCCGGCUUGUGUUGGGGACCUGCGGCUGCCGCAGGCCCUGAAAAGCAGUGGCGGGCUCGCUGUCACACCGAGCGUAGUAGAUUUCAUCUCGCUCAGGGCGUGCUGCGGGUUCCGGCCGUUAAACCACCUUCAUAACCCAAGGUUGACCUCGGAUCAGGUAGGAAGACCCGCUGAACUUAAGCAUAUCAAUAAGCGGAGGA